GAAAGGCGGGCUAAACCCGCGUACAUGCCACCGGGGCAUCCCGGAGGCAGGAAAGGCUUCGGCCGGACAGGGAUGGGCAUGCGGCGCAUCAGGCAGUAGGCGGGGUAACGGCCCACCUAACCGACGAUGCGUAGGGGUUCUGAGAGGAAGGUCCCCCACACUGGUACUGAGACACGGACCAGACUCCUACGGGAGGCAGCAGUGAGGAAUAUUGGUCAAUGGUCGGGAGACUGAACCAGCCAAGCCGCGUGAGGGAUGAAGGUACAGAGUAUCGUAAACCUCUUUUGUCAGGGAACAAAGGCGGGGACGUGUCCCCGGAUGAGUGUACCUGAAGAAAAAGCAUCGGCUAACUCCGUGCCAGCAGCCGCGGUAAUACGGAGGAUGCGAGCGUUAUCCGGAUUUAUUGGGUUUAAAGGGUGCGCAGGCGGUCUGUUAAGUCGGCGGUCAAAGCCCGGGGCUCAACCCCGGCCCGCCGUUGAAACUGGCAGUCUCGAGUUGGAGAGAAGUAUGCGGAAUGCGCGGUGUAGCGGUGAAAUGCAUAGAUAUCGCGCAGAACUCCGAUUGCGAAGGCAGCAUGCCGGCUCCACACUGACGCUGAGGCACGAAAGCGUGGGUAUCGAACAGGAUUAGAUACCCUGGUAGUCC
rnacentral:rRNA from 1 species